GAGUUUGAUCCUGGGCUCAGAAUGAACGCUGGCGGCGUGCUUAACACAUGCAAGUCGAACGGUAACAGAAGAGCUUGCUCUUGCUGACGAGUGGCGCACGGGUGAGUAAUGCAUAGGUAACGUGCCCCUUAGUCUAGGAUAGCCACUGGAAACGGUGAUUAAUACUGGAUAUUCCUUCUUCCUUAAUGGAAGUUGGGAAAGUUUUUCGCUAAGGGAUCGGCCUAUGUUGUAUCAGGUAGUUGGUGAGGUAAUGGCUCACCAAGCCUAUGACACAUGGCGGGUCUGAGAGGAUGAUCCGCCACACUGGUACUGAGACACGGACCAGACUCCUACGGGAGGCAGCAGUGGGGAAUAUUGCACAAUGGACGAAAGUCUGAUGCAGCAACGCCGCGUGGAGGAUGACACAUUUCGGUGCGUAAACUCCUUUUAUAUGAGAAGAUAAUGACGGUAUCAUAUGAAUAAGCACCGGCUAACUCCGUGCCAGCAGCCGCGGUAAUACGGAGGGUGCAAGCGUUAUUCGGAAUCACUGGGCGUAAGGGGUGCGUAGGCGGUUUGAUAAGUCUGAUGUGAAACCCUAUGGCUCAACCAUAGAACUGCAUUGGAAACUGUCAAACUAGAAUACUGAAGGGGCAGAUGGAAUUAGUGGUGUAGGGGUAAAAUCCGUAGAUAUCACUAGGAAUACCGAAAGCGAAAGCGAUCUGCUGGGAAGUUAUUGACGCUGAGGCACGAAAGCGUGGGGAGCAAACGGGAUUAGAUACCCCGGUAGUCCACGCCCUNAACGAUGAAUGCUAGUCGUCGGAAAGCUCGUCUUUUCGGUGAUGCAGUUAACACAUUAAGCAUUCCGCCUGGGGAGUACGGUCGCAAGAUUAAAACUCAAAGGAAUAGACGGGGACCCGCACAAGUGGUGGAGCAUGUGGUUUAAUUCGAAGAUACGCGAAGAACCUUACCAAGCCUUGACAUUGAUUGAAUCCCGUAGAGAUACAGGAGUGCUAGUUUACUAGAACAUGAAAACAGGUGCUGCACGGCUGUCGUCAGCUCGUGUCGUGAGAUGUUGGGUUAAGUCCCGCAACGAGCGCAACCCUCGUCGUUAGUUGCUAACAGUUCGGCUGAGUACUCUAGCGAGACUGCCUUCGCAAGGAGGAGGAAGGUGAGGACGACGUCAAGUCAUCAUGGCCCUUAUGGCUUGGGCUACACACGUGCUACAAUGGGGCGUACAGAGAGUUGCGAUACCGCGAGGUGGAGCUAAUCUCAUAAAGCGUCUCUCAGUUCGGAUUGGACUCUGCAACUCGAGUCCAUGAAGCUGGAAUCACUAGUAAUCGUAGAUCAGCAAUGCUACGGUGAAUACGUUCCCGGGUCUUGUACUCACCGCCCGUCACACCAUGGGAGUUGAUUUCACCCGAAAUCGGGAUGCCAAACUGGCUACCGCUUACGGUGGAAUUAGCGACUGGGGUGAAGUCGUAACAAGGUAGCC
rnacentral:rRNA from 1 species